UGAAAUCUGGCUCUCGGGCCCGAGUUGUAAUUUGUAGAGGAUGUUUUUGAUGCGGUGCCUUCCGAGUUCCCUGGAACGGGACGCCAUAGAGGGUGAGAGCCCCGUCUGGUUGGAUGCCAAAUCUCUGUAAAACUCCUUCAACGAGUCGAGUAGUUUGGGAAUGCUGCUCUAAAUGGGAGGUAUAUGUCUUCUAAAGCUAAAUACCGGCCAGAGACCGAUAGCGCACAAGUAGAGUGAUCGAAAGAUGAAAAGCACUUUGAAAAGAGAGUUAAAAAGUACGUGAAAUUGUUGAAAGGGAAGCGUUUAUGACCAGACUUGGGCUUGGUUAAUCAUCUGGGGUUCUCCCCAGUGCACUUCUCCAGCUCAGGCCAGCAUCAGUUUUCCCCGGGGGAUAAAGACUUUGGGAAUGUGGCUCCCUUCGGGGAGUGUUAUAGCCCAUUGUGUAAUACCCUGGGGGGGACUGAGGUUCGCGCAUCUGCAAGGAU
rnacentral:rRNA from 1 species